rnacentral:rRNA from 1 species
AGCGAACGCUGGCGGCAGGCUUAACUCAUGCAAGUCGAGCGGGCACUUUCGGGUGUCAGCGGCGGACGGGUGAGUAACGCGUGGGAACGUGCCCUCUGGUUCGGAAUAACUCAGGGAAACUUGAGCUAAUACCGGAUACGCCCUUUUGGGGAAAGGCUUGCUGCCGGAGGAUCGGCCCGCGUCUGAUUAGCUAGUUGGUGAGGUAACGGCUCACCAAGGCGACGAUCAGUAGCUGGUCUGAGAGGAUGAUCAGCCACACUGGGACUGAGACACGGCCCAGACUCCUACGGGAGGCAGCAGUGGGGAAUAUUGGACAAUGGGCGCAAGCCUGAUCCAGCCAUGCCGCGUGAGUGAUGAAGGCCUUAGGGUUGUAAAGCUCUUUUAUCCGGGACGAUAAUGACGGUACCGGAGGAAUAAGCCCCGGCUAACUUCGUG